AUGGUGGAGGAGACAGAUAAUCAGUGCCUUCUGCACAGAGUGCAGAAUUGGAACACUCUGUCUUGGCAAGUCAUGCCUCCUUGGAGAGCGUUCAGAAGGAGCUGCCCUUUCUGGCCCGGAGCAAACCGAACCUCAGGUAGAUGCUGUCACAUCCUGGUGCUUUCUGGUUCCUGCUGCCCUUGGACGGGGCUGGACUGCAGGAAAUUAGUGAGGAAUCCGCAGUCUCUGAUCCUGGACGGGGCCGGCCACAGUCCUGGUCUCGACUUGACAAAACUGGUCAUUUAAGAUAGAACUGUCAUUUCAGGUUCCUAGUGAAGACAGUCAGCACACAAGAUUUCUUCAUGCAGGUGUUUAAAAGCACACAGAAACUGCACCACUGGGCAUGUUGUUUGUCUCAGUUUGUCUUCCUUCCGGGUGUUAUGAUAGGACUUCCCAGGCCCUGGAGAAGGGGACCAGAUCCCAGAGAGUGAGCCUGCUCUCCCAGCAUUGCAGUAGACCGCUUUUCAUUUCCAGUGGGAAAAAGUGUUAUCCAAAACUAAGCAGUGGGCAAGCUGUUUUUGCAUCUUUGUAGCUCAAAUGAAGUCAUCAGGGAUGACUGUUUAAAAUAAGAACUUGAAGUCCCACUUUGACCUUCCCUUCGCACCAUGCUUCUGCUCACGGCCCUGAAUAGCUGACUCUGUUUCCUGCUUACCUGUUGGUUGGCCCCAUCAGACGCUAAUGCUGGGGAUGUAAGCUGACUAUUCCAAAUGCAGAAAGAAAUGAACACUUACCAUUUGCUUCUUAAAUGUGCCAGGUCUUUUUUUCUCUCUCUCUUUUGACUGCUGGUCAUCAUACCUGACAUCUUAAGAUUGUUUUGUUACAACUGCCCUUUGGUACAACCAAUAUGCACUUGAUAUUGUUAUGAUCUUGUGAAAUGACCUUGCAAUCUUUCUCAUUUUAAAAACUAGCAACUUAUGCAAGAUUUUUUUCCCCCGGCUAUAUAACUCCUCUCUGAACCAGCACACUCUUUUUUCAGCUUUCUGGUUUCUUUGCUAGCAAGAUAAUAAACUUUGACAUGUGCUCGAGAUCA
rnacentral:lncRNA from 1 species